GCUUAGUCGUNAACUUAAAUAGUCCUAAAACAAGACUAUUCGCCAGAGUACUAUCGGCAACAGCCCAAAACUCAAAGGACUUGGCGGUGCUUCAUAUCCUUCUAGAGGAGCCUGUUCUGUAAACGAUAAACCACGAUUAACCUCACCAAUCUUUGCUACUUCAGUCUAUAUACCGCCAUCUUCAGCAAACCCUAAAAAAGGAAUGAAAGUAAGCACAACUACUGCACGUAAAAACGUUAGGUCAAGGUGUAACCUAUAGAUUGGGAAGAAAUGGGCUACAUUUUCUAUAACAAGAACACCCCUUAAACUUAUACGAAAGUUUUUAUGAAACCUAGAAACUAAAGGAGGAUUUAGCAGUAAAUUAAGAAUAGAAUGCUUAAUUGAAAAAGGCCAUGAAGCACGC
rnacentral:rRNA from 1 species